UUCCAUAGGUUAACCUGCUGAAGGAUCAUUG
rnacentral:rRNA from 1 species